rnacentral:rRNA from 1 species
GUGUCAGCCGCCGCGGUAAUACGUAGGGGGCAAGCGUUGUCCGGAUUUAUUGGGCGUAAAGAGCGUGUAGGCGGCCUGACAGGUCUGCUGUGAAAACUCGAGGCUCAACCUCGAGAUGUCGGCGGAAACCGUCUGGCUAGAGUCCGGAAGAGGAGAGUGGAAUUCCUGGUGUAGCGGUGAAAUGCGCAGAUAUCAGGAAGAACACCUAUGGCGAAGGCAGCUCUCUGGGACGGUACUGACGCUGAGACGCGAAAGCGUGGGGAGCGAACAGGAUUAGAUACCCUUGUAGUCC